rnacentral:hammerhead_ribozyme from 1 species
AUCCAGCUGACAAGUCUCAAAUAGGACGAACAGUUCGUCCUGGAU